UACGUAGGAUGCAAGCGUUGUCCGGAAUUACUGGGCGUAAAGAGCGUGCAGGCGGUCAAUCAAGUCAGAUGUGAAAUAUCCCGGCUUAACUGGGAGGGGUCAUUUGAAACUGGUUGACUAGAGUGAAGCAGAGGAUAGCGGAAUUCACGGUGUAGCAGUGAAAUGCGUAGAUAUCGUGAGGAACACCAGAGGCGAAGGCGGCUACCUGGACAAUUGCUGACGCUCAGGCACGAAAGCGUGGGGAGCAAAAGGG
rnacentral:rRNA from 1 species